UGGUGACUCCCUAGUUCUUGUGUUAUGAGGAGUAAAUAACACUUCUUUAUUUACUUUUUUGCAGCAGUCGUGAUUUUAUAGAUCUCUAUCAUAUCCCCCCUUAGUUGUUGUGAUUAAUCUUUGAGCAAAAGUAUUGCCAAGCUUAAAAUGGACAAAGGUAUUGUCAGUGUUAGGCCUCAAACUUCCGCUUAGCAAAGGUAAAAAGGGCACACUUUGCAGAGGUGAAGAGUGCAUGCUUUGCAGACGUAAGCUAAGACUUGUGGUCAAAAUGUGCUGCAACCAGAUAACACAUUCUAAUUCCUAUAAGAGGAGAUAAGUUGUGCCCCUGGGUACAGCUUGUCUAACUCACAAUGAAAACAACUGGCUACAAGAAAAUAAGUAUAAAUUAUGCGGUCAAAGCGACACAAGGAGAUAAGUAAGCAUAAAUUAUACAGCCAAGGUGACAACGCUGAUCACAAUAAAGAUUUGGCUGACCCUAAUUGGUUGAUCUGUUUUAAGACAGUGGACGGAUCAGAUAAAAAGUACGAAGGCACAGGACUGUGUGUGUGUAUUUCAGUCAUAAGGGAAACCUGACCCACACCCCCUGAACUGAAAGGACGUGCACUUCAUGACUGUCUGUACCUGGCCAGUGCGGAAAAUGGCUUACUGAAGGGUAACACAUUCUCAGAAGGAGGGGUGGGAAUCCAGAGAGGAACAAAAAAGAUUCCUGCCUUGUGCAAAAGAUAUAUAAGGGAGUGGAACACAACAAAGAAGGCUGCAGUCAUGAGAAAUCCCCCAGCUACCACCUGAGCUGGAACAAGGACUGUACCAAGGGAAAGAAUUGGGUCCAGACUAGGAAGGCAUCCAGUCUGUGAUAGAAGCUAAUUGAAACAUCUUUGAGGGUGAGAUUUUAUCUGUAUUCAGUUUUCUUACUGUAUUAUGCUUAGACUUGUGUGUUUUGUUUUAUUUUGCUUGGUAAUUCACUUUGUUCUGUCCAUUAUUACUUGGAACCACUUAAAUCUUACUUUUUGUAUUUCAUAAAAUCACCUUUUACUUAUUAAUUAACUCAGAGUAUGUAUUAAUACCAUGGGGGAGGGAGGAGCACAAACAGCUGUGCUUCUCUAUCAGUGUGAUAGAGAGCGAACAAUUUAUGAAUUUAUCCUGUAUAAGCUUUAUACAGGGUAAAAGAUUUAUUUGGGGUUUGAACCCUAUUGGAAGCUGGGUACCUGAGUGUUGGAGACAGGAACACUUCUUAAGCUAUUUUCAGUUAAGCCUGCAGCUUUCAGGGGACGUGGUUCAACCCUGGGUCUGUGUUUGUAGCAGGCAAGCGUGUCUGGCUCAAACCAGGUAAGGCACUCAAGUCCCAAGCUGCCAGGGAAAACGGGCUUAGAGGUAGUUUUAGCACAUCAGGUGGCAGUUCCAAAGGGGGUUUCUGUGAUCCAACCCGUCAGUUAUUUCUUUUUAUUUUUUAAACAAGUGUUCCUCUACUCUGUUACUAUGUAAAAAACCUAUGCAAACAGAACAAACUGAUUACAGUGAAACAAGUUACUAUCAAAUGAUCAAAGUAAACAAAAAGUUCUCUAAUCUCUUGGAAAAGUUACAGUAAUUUUAUGAAUUACUUGAAACAAUGCAAAAAAAUUUCAGAUAGAAGUGUGACUAAGUUAAUGAUAUCCCUUUGACUAGAGCAAAAUAAAUGUUCUGAGACUGCAAACCACAUUGCAUGCAAAGGAUUGCUUAAUCUGCCUGCCUUUUCAUAUUUGGAACAAAAAACUUGCUGACCCAUCUUUGGUUCUUCAGAUAGCUGACUAAAGACAUCCAGCUUUAUCCAAGGAUGAAGUAAGGAGAGAAAUGAUCUGUGAAGCAAAACUUUUCUUUACGGUAAUAAUUUCAUGCUCCCCAUUCAGCCUAAAUGACAACUUACCUAUGGAGGAAAGAAGGCCCACAGAUAAAACAAAAACAGACACUAUAACAAUGAACAACUAACCGGCAAUUGUUCUGAACUAACAUUUUUUAACUUGAUAUGGUGUUCGUACAAAUUUGUGAAGAGAUACUAACAAAGAGAUGCCAUUGGUAAACCCAGUGUACACCAGGCAAAUAAACCAUUCCUGACAAUGAU